rnacentral:tRNA from 1 species
ACCUGGGUGGCUCAAUCAGUUGAGCGUCUGACUUUAGCUCAGGUUAUGAUCUCACGGCUUGUGAAUUCAAGCCCCGCGUG